rnacentral:rRNA from 1 species
GACGAACGCUGGCGGCGUGCUUAACACAUGCAAGUCGAACGGUGAACUCGAGAGCUUGCUCUUGAGGGAUCAGUGGCGAACGGGUGAGUAACACAUGAGUAACCUGCCCCAGACUCUGGAAUAACACCUGGAAACAGGUGCUAAUACCGGAUACGACACGAACAGGCAUCUGUAUCGUGUGGAAAGUUUUUCGGUCUGGGAUGGACUCGCGGCCUAUCAGCUAGUUGGUGAGGUAAAGGCUCACCAAGGCGACGACGGGUAGCCGGCCUGAGAGGGCGACCGGCCACACUGGGACUGAGACACGGCCCAGACUCCUACGGGAGGCAGCAGUGGGGAAUAUUGCACAAUGGGCGAAAGCCUGAUGCAGCGACGCCGCGUGAGGGAUGACGGCCUUCGGGUUGUAAACCUCUUUCAGUAGGGAAGAAGCGAAAGUGACGGUACCUACAGAAGAAGCACCGGCUAACUACGUGCCAGCAGCCGCAGUAACAC